CGUCAAAUCAUCAUGCCCCUUAUGACCUGGGCUACACACGUGCUACAAUGGGUGGUACAAAGGGCAGCGAACCCGCGAGGGGGAGCCAAUCCGAUAAAACCGUUCUCAGUUCGGAUUGUAGGCUGCAACUCGCCUACAUGAAGCUGGAAUCGCUAGUAAUCGCGGAUCAGCAUGCCGCGGUGAAUACGUUCCCGGGCCUU
rnacentral:rRNA from 1 species